rnacentral:rRNA from 1 species
UACGGAGGGUGCAAACGUUGCUCGGAAUUAUUGGGCGUAAAGCGCGUGUAGGCGGCUUUGCAAGUCGGGUGUGAAAGCCCUCGGCUCAACCGAGGAAGUGCGCCCGAAACUGCAUAGCUUGAGUACCGGAGAGGAUGGCGGAAUUCCCGAAGUAGAGGUGAAAUUCGUAGAUAUCGGGAGGAACACCGGUGGCGAAGGCGGCCAUCUGGACGGAUACUGACGCUGAGACGCGAAAGCGUGGGUAGCAAACAGG